CCUACGGGAGGCAGCAGUGGGGAAUAUUGGACAAUGGGGGAAACCCUUAUCCAGCGACGCCGCGUGAGGGAAGAAGGAUUUCGGAUUGUAAACCUCUGUCAGUGAGGACGAUAAUGACGGUACCCACGGAGGAAGCCACGGCUAACUACGUGCCAGCAGCCGCGGUAAUACGUAGGUGGAAAGCGUUGGCCGGAAUGACUGGGGGUAAAGGGAGCGUAGGCGGGUUGUCAAGUAAGGUGGUAAAAUGAUGGGCACAACUCUUAACCUGAUGUUGAAACUGGUAUUCUUGAGUGAAGUCGAGGCAAGCGGAAUUCCUUGUGUAGCGGUGAAAUGCGUAGAUAUUAGGAGGAACACCAGUGGCGAAGGCGGCUUGCUGGGCUUUUACUGACGCUGAGGCUCGAAAGCGUGGGGAGCAAACAGGAUUAGAUACCCGGGUAGUC
rnacentral:rRNA from 1 species